AGAGUUGGAGGAAAAAAAAAGGCAGAAAAGGGAAAGAAAGAGGAAGAGAGAGAGAGAGUGAGAGGAGCCGCUGAGCCCACCCCGAUGGCCGCGGACGAAGUUGCCGGAGGGGCGCGCAAAGCCACGAAAAGCAAACUUUUUGAGUUUCUGGUCCAUGGGGUGCGCCCCGGGAUGCCGUCUGGAGCCCGGAUGCCCCACCAGGGGGCGCCCAUGGGCCCCCCGGGCUCCCCGUACAUGGGCAGCCCCGCCGUGCGACCCGGCCUGGCCCCCGCGGGCAUGGAGCCCGCCCGCAAGCGAGCAGCGCCCCCGCCCGGGCAGAGCCAGGCACAGAGCCAGGGCCAGCCGGUGCCCACCGCCCCCGCGCGGAGCCGCAGUGCCAAGAGGAGGAAGAUGGCUGACAAAAUCCUCCCUCAAAGGAUUCGGGAGCUGGUCCCCGAGUCCCAGGCUUACAUGGACCUCUUGGCAUUUGAGAGGAAACUGGAUCAAACCAUCAUGCGGAAGCGAGUGGACAUCCAGGAGGCUCUGAAGAGGCCCAUGAAGCAAAAGCGGAAGCUGCGACUCUAUAUCUCCAACACUUUUAACCCUGCGAAGCCUGAUGCUGAGGAUUCUGACGGCAGCAUUGCCUCCUGGGAGCUACGGGUGGAGGGGAAGCUCCUGGAUGAUCCCAGCAAACAGAAGCGGAAGUUCUCUUCUUUCUUCAAGAGUUUGGUCAUCGAGCUGGACAAAGAUCUUUACGGCCCUGACAACCACCUCGUUGAGUGGCAUCGGACACCCACGACCCAGGAGACGGAUGGCUUCCAGGUGAAACGGCCUGGGGACUUGAGUGUGCGCUGCACGCUGCUCCUCAUGCUGGACUACCAGGUCUGCACCUGCCAUGCUGCCCCAUACACGCCACACAAGGCCCUCAGGGCAGGGCUAGGUCCCAAAGUGGUGCAUCUUGAGAGACCUCCUUCCCCUCCCAAACCUAUCCUUCCCCAGGGGCAUGUUUCCUCAAUCAACACAUCCCCCUAGUCCUGAAUGGCCUGGCCCUGGGCUCCUUCCUUUCUCUCCCUUUGGUCUAACUUUCACAGUCCCCUUUUCCCAGCCUCCCCAGUUCAAACUGGAUCCCCGCCUAGCCCGGCUGCUGGGGCUGCACACACAGAGCCGCUCAGCCAUCGUCCAGGCCCUGUGGCAGUAUGUGAAGACCAACAGGCUGCAGGACUCCCAUGACAAGGAAUACAUCAAUGGGGACAAGUAUUUCCAGCAGGUAACCUCUCUCCUGAACCCUGGGAUCUGGGGAGCAGGCGGAGUUCUCCAGCAGGGGAAGUACCUCUACCAAGGUAACUACCACCCCUCCCUUCUAGAUUCCUGAGUAGCAGAAGCAGUACACAGUCAUGGUCUUGGAGCCAAGAGACCGACCAGGAUUCUAGUUCAGGCCCUACUGUGGAUUAGCUCUGUGCUGCAGCCAAUCCAUGUUAGCCCCCCCAAGUUAGGAAGACCU
rnacentral:sRNA from 1 species